rnacentral:rRNA from 1 species
AGAAAAAGGAAAGAAAAGCAGAUCUCGCGCCGGAACAUGCCCUCGCAAUCCAGGCUGCUGCCACUGCCAGUCCAGCUUCUACUCAUUCUUGCAGGCGCAGCAGCCAUGGCCGGGGCUGAACUAGAUGAGCAGCUGCCGAUCACACGUCCGGGCUGCCCUGACAAGUGCGGCAACCUGAGCAUCCCGUUCCCCUUUGGCCUGAUGCCCGGCUGCUUCCGCGAGGGCUUCCAGGUCACCUGCGACCACUCCGUCGACCCCCCUCGAGCGUUCCUCGCCGACACAGACACCAACCGCAUCAUGGUCACCGACCGCGACGCCUCGGCGGCCUCCGACGCCGCCGCCUAUCUGGGGUUCAACACCUCGUAUUUUCCGGUGGAGCUGGUGGACAUGUCAGCCGAUAGGAGCCAGGCGCGGGCGUACGGCCCCAUCACGUCCGGCUGCAGCACCAACAGCACCCAGUACAGGUUCCAAACCCAGGCCAUGACGCUCGGCAACGGCAUCACGGAGGGGCCGUUCGCCGUGUCGCGGACGCUCAACGUCGUCGUCGGCGUGGGCUGGAGGGUCGACGUCGUCAUGGACGGCCCGACCACGCCCGUCUGCCGCACUGGCACGGAGCGAGAGCUCGCGGUGAGGAACGGGUCGUGCGCGGGGCAGGGCUGCUGCGAGGCCGCCCUGCCCCGCGAGCCGGAGUACGGCAGCGUCGCGCCGGGGCUCCUGGUCGCGGACGAAAACGCCCGGUGGAGGUCCAGCCCGUGCUCCUACGCCAUGGUGGUCGAGAAGUCGCGCUACGUCUUCUCCACGCCGGACUUGUACGGCGACACGCUGCUGAUGGAGACGCUCCCCGUGGUGCUCGACUUCGCCAUCGUCGGGAACGCCUCGUGCCCGGCGAAAGGCCAGCGGCCACCUCCGGACUACGCGUGCGCCAGCCGCAACAGCUACUGUGUCAACGCCACAGUUGGCCUCUCGGGGUAUGCACUCAGCUACGUGUGCAAAUGCUCGGAGCACUACGCGGGCAACCCGUACAUCGCCGAUGGAUGCCGAGACAUCGAUGAGUGCAAGUUCCCCGAUCUAUACUACUGCUCGAGCAAAGGCGUAUGUAAGAACAGGCUGGGAGGAUAUGAUUGUCCAUGCAAGCCAGGAAUGAGAGGCGAUGGGAAAUUAGGACAGUGUGUUGAGAAAUUUCCCCUGGUAGCCAAGGCGAUUGUGGGUAAGUACCACUUCAACUGCUAAUACAUAUGCUGUUAAUUUUCAUACUACUGACAUGUACUACUUAAUUAAUAAAAGUAUAGGAUAGGAUGAAUGUUCAUAUAUAGGAUACCAUGUUAAUUCUAAAAUGAAGUCUGAAAAGAAGUGUACGUAAUAAGUCAAAAUGAGGUACAUGGACAACUACGUACACGACCCCUGCUCUUUUGCGCGUACGAACGCUCAAGACAGACAGGCCCAGACACGAGCCGUCAUCCUUGACCAAAUAAUGGGGCCGGUUACCCUGUGUGAGCUUGCGUGGUCCACUUCUUUUCCUUUUUUUUUGUCUGUGUAUUCCACAUUUCCACUUCAAUGCCAGUCCAAAGGACCUGCUGCACAGUGCUCUGGAUCAUCAAGAAAUUGGCAUGGUUUCCAACAUAUCAUAUGCCUUUGACUAAUAUGAUCUAUAGUAGUAUUUCUCUCUUGGUAAAAGUUAUGAAUCUAUACCAACGUAGAGACUAGCUUAGUAAGCUUGAAUCUGCCCAACAUUCACAUUGGAUCCAACACUAUUUUCUUCCUUGGUGCAUUUUGCUCAAUUCCUACUCAUCCAUUUAUGCAUUUUCUCAAUUUCUCGAUCCACCUUGCGGUAAACGUACAAGGAUGCAACCAACAAAGGUCCACAACUCCACAUGCAAAUACUUCCGCUUGGUAUAGAAAUCCAAUUCCCCGAGACAGAGUACAUAUAUAUGGCUUACUUUGUGAGGGUCGCUCACUCAAAGAGGACAAGGCAAAGUCCCUCCCCUUUCUUUCUAUUGUUAAACUAUUCACUAGUACUUCUGCUUUUAAGUCAAAUUCUAAAUAACUUGUUGAAUCAGUAAUUUAUUAUCUUUUAUGCAAUAUCAUUUGUUGCAAACUUUUUAGUAGGAUACUUUGCCAUGUAGGUAUCAUUGGUGGUAUUUCUGUCAUAGUAGUUAUGUCAUUUCUAGUUCUUCUCCGCAAAGAGAGAAGGAAGACCAGGGAGUUCUAUGAAAAGAAUGGUGGACCUACACUAGAAAGAGCAAAAAAUAUUAAAAUUUUCAAAAAGGAGGAGCUCGUGCCAAUUUUAAAGGAAAGCAAUCUUAUUGGAAGAGGUGGCUUCGGUGUAGUUUACAAGGGCACUCUUGGUAAAGAACAAGUUGCAGUGAAGCAACCGAUUAGUGGUAGUCUGCUGGAAAAUGACCAAUUUGCAAAUGAAGUCAUCAUCCAAUCUCAAGUCAUCCACAAGAAUAUUGUUAGGCUCAUAGGUUGUUGCCUCGAGGUUGGUACCCCAUUGCUAGUAUACGAAUUUCUCUCUGGUGGUAGCUUGGAUGACAUUCUUCACAGCAAAGACAAGAAGCCUCUAAACUUGGAUAUACGUUUAAGUAUUGCUGUAGAAUCAGCAGAUGGUCUUGCUUACAUGCAUUCAAAAACAAACACCAAAAUCCUACACGGUGAUGUUAAACCAGCAAAUAUACUUUUGGAUGAUAAGUUUGUCCCCAAGAUCUCGGACUUUGGCAUAUCAAGGUUGAUUGCGGGAGACAAAGAACACACCGGAAGAAUCAUCGGUGACAUGAGCUAUAUGGAUCCAGUAUAUCUGCAGUCAGGCCUGCUAACUGAAAAGAGUGAUGUCUAUAGCUUCGGAGUGGUGUUGUUGGAACUUAUUAGUAGGAAGAAGGCCAUACAUUCUGACAAUAAGAACUUAGUAAAGAGCUUCCUUGAAGCUCGCAACAACAAGAGCAGAAUAACCGAGUUGAUUGACAAUGAAAUUGCGGCAGCAGAGGACUUGGAGCUUCUUCAAAAUCUGGCAGGGAUGGCAGUGGAGUGUCUCAACCUUGACGUGGAUCAGAGACCAGCGAUGGCAGAUAUAGCACACCGCCUUCUAAUACUGAACAAGUCUCGUAGGUCGUAAGUUCUUGGACGCUGAGUGAACACAUAUGUUUGUGAUAACCUUUUUUUUUUUGCUAUUUUGAGCAAAUAUUAUUGAUACAUAUGGGAAACGUGUCCAUUAGUUCCAAGAAAAUAUGUACUUGGUUGUAACUCACUCGCUGUGUAACCAUGUAUUCGUGUUAGCAAUUGUACGUCUUCCAUAUGCAAAGGAGCAAUCAUCUUCACAUUAGCGUAUAAUUAGCAAAUUUCCCCAUGUGCUUGGAUGAACC